GGUCGUUUCUUUAUUAAUGAUGAACACAUUUUAGAACUAGUCCUAAUAAAUAUGGAAGUAGCGACAACUUCAAAAUUAAUGCCUAGUAACUCUCUUGGGGGUGGGGGCAAGAAAGAAAAGGGAGUUACAACAUGGUGCUCCUGCUAUUUAAAGGCCCUUCUCCCCUGAUAUGAUCCAAUAUAGAGAAGACAUGCAUUUCGAUAGUUCGUUAAUGGAACUCCCAGAAUCCUCAUCAGCACUACCUUCAGAAUUACAAAGACCGAUUUGUAUGC
rnacentral:misc_RNA from 1 species